rnacentral:rRNA from 1 species
GACGAACGCUGGCGGCGUGCCUAAUACAUGCAAGUCGAACGAAGCUGUUUUAACUGGUGCUUGCACCGACUUAAACAACUGAGUGGCGAACGGGUGAGUAACACGUGGGUAACCUGCCCCAAAGCGGGGGAUAACAUUUGGAAACAGAUGCUAAUACCGCAUAACCACAGAAACCACAUGGUUUCUGUGUCAAAGAUGGUUUCGGCUAUCACUUUGGGAUGGACCCGCGGCGUAUUAGCUAGUUGGUAAGGUAAUGGCUUACCAAGGCAAUGAUACGUAGCCGAACUGAGGGGUUGAUCGGCCACAUUGGGACUGAGACACGGCCCAAACUCCUACGGGAGGCAGCAGUAGGGAAUCUUCCACAAUGGACGAAAGUCUGAUGGAGCAACGCCGCGUGAGUGAAGAAGGUUUUCGGAUCGUAAACCUCUGUUGUCAGAGAAGAACGUGUGCGAGAGUAACUGUUCGUGCAGUGACGGUAUCUGGCCAGAAAGCCACGGCUAACUACGUGCCAGCAGCCGCCGUAA